rnacentral:lncRNA from 11 species
CACGAGAAUAGCAAGGACUUCCUGGAGUUCCGCGGCUGGAGAGAGCGCCGUCGCUGCCGCCGUUGCCGACGCAGCCAAACACUGAGGGCACUUCUAGACAGCAGGAAAUUGCAGGCAAAAAUGGAUUAAAGAAAUCCCUCCCCCCUCCCCUUCUCCUCAUGUGCCAUUUUGGUGAGCCAGAAGAACCUCCA